GUCCACGCUGUAAACGUUGGGCACUAGGUGUGGGAGGUAUUGACCCCUUCCGUGCCGCAGCUAACGCGAUAAGUGCCCCGCCUGGGGAGUACGGCCGCAAGGCUAAAACUCAAAGGAAUUGACGGGGGCCCGCACAAGCAGCGGAGCGUGUGGUUUAAUUCGAUGCUACGCGAAGAACCUUACCAGGGCUUGACAUGCUGGUGGUACCGAUCCGAAAGGAGAGGGACCCUUCGGGGAGCCAGCACAGGUGUUGCAUGGCUGUCGU
rnacentral:rRNA from 1 species